rnacentral:rRNA from 1 species
UACGUAGGGACCAAGCGUUGCUCGGAAUUACUGGGCGUAAAGCGCACGUAGGCGGACUUAUAAGUCAGGGGUGAAAUCCCGGGGCUCAACCUCGGAACUGCCUUUGAUACUGUAAGUCUCGAGUCCGAUAGAGGUGAGUGGAAUUCCUAGUGUAGAGGUGAAAUUCGUAGAUAUUAGGAAGAACACCAGUGGCGAAGGCGGCUCACUGGAUCGGUACUGACGCUGAGGUGCGAAAGCGUGGGGAGCAAACAGG